rnacentral:tRNA from 1 species
AAGAAGUUAGUUUAAAUAAAAACAUAACUUUGUCAAAGUUAAAAUAUUAAAUUUAAUACUUCUUA